AACCUUCCUUUAACUGGAGAAUAGCCCCUCGAAAGAGGGAUUAAUACUCCGUAACAUAUUGAUAAGGCAUCUUAUUAAUAUUAUAGUCUUCGGGCGGUUAAAGAUGGGCGUGCGCCUGAUAGAUAGUUGGUGAGGUAACGGCUCACCAAGUCUGCGAUCAGUAACUGGUGUGAGAGCACGACCAGUCACACGGGCACUGAGACACGGGCCCGACUCCUACGGGAGGCAGCAGUAAGGAAUAUUGGUCAAUGGACGCAAGUCUGAACCAGCCAUGCCGCGUGGAG
rnacentral:rRNA from 1 species